CAUAAAAGGUUUUCUCCAAAGCCUGUAGACAAUGUUAGUUUGAGUGUGCUUAUUUGCUCAGAUUGACUUCGUCUCUGGUUACAGGCCAUCGGUGGGGUCUAUUGAGGACUAUGGUAAUGACACACACAGGGCCUCACCUGAUCCUCCGGCUCAGAACAGCAGCACCUGCUGUGGUUACCUGAGCCAGGCAGUUUAAACUCUGUGGAAUACAGAUGUACUGGAUUCACUAUUAAUGGCUUCUAUGAGGCAGUACCAUGGCAGCAGAAUCAUAUACACAGAUGCAGACCGGAUCCAAACCUGCUUUCCUACCUAAACAAUGGAACAACAAACUCUUACAGCAUUGGGCUAUUCUGCCCACUUCUUCAGAACAAAAAGAGGUCAUGAUGUGAGCGGGGGGCUGGACGUCUGAGAUCUUGCGUCACCGGAGUUUCAGGCAGACGAGAACAUUCUGUACUCAGGUCAGAAUUAAGGCCAUCGACGUGCCCGAACAGGAACCCUGGUCUUAUGUAACGCUUUUGACGUGAAAGGACGGUUGGGAAAGUCAAAACAACCUGAGUUACAUAACCCAAAUGUAUGUACCACUGUAAUUUACAGUAUGUUUGAUAAUUGCGUCCUGCACAUAUUCUUGUUCAGCUGGAAUGCGUGUACACUGCUCAUUGUGUUCGGCUUUUUAAAAAUAGUUAAGGCUGACACCCUCUCACACCCUCUGAUUAAGGUGCUGAACACGAACUUUUGAACAAACUCAAGUUUUCUACAUUUUCCAGCUAGAGUCUGUUAUCAGCAUGACUCGUCUCUGAUUCAUACCUCUCAUCUGGUCUCGCUUCAUCUCAUGUCUUUAUCGUUUCAGCGGUGUGUGUGGUCUGCAUACCAGACUGGGCCGUGUUGGGGGAGCUGUGCGGGAUGAACCAUUCACACAAAAGCUCAUUUACCAGAAGCAGUGUUUUCACAUUCCUGAGCUGUGAGGUCAUCUCCCCCCCGUAGCCCACAGGAUAAUGUCUGUUUUCAGAGAGGCCCAACUAUUCAUAUGGUACCAAUGACAAUGCGUACUUUUGAGCCUUUGAGCUUUGUUACAAACAAAAACAAGCAAAAUCUAUUCCCCAAAUACUACAAUACAAUGCAAUACUUACAACACUGGUGCAAUGUAACAAACAUUUUUAGGGCUUGAUGUGAAUAAAAGGGGCCCAGCUCAGUUUCACAGAUGUUUUUGUAUUCUACAUCGAUAGUGAGGCUACCUCAGAGAGACAACAGAAAUGUCAGACAUCAAAGAAACAAGAAACUGAAUACCAGGAUGAUAACAAAGCUCUCUUUGAGGGCAUAGUAUCAAAAUAAGCAAGGCCGAAACUUGUUCAUUAUAUACGGAAUAGUUUCAUGAUUAGAUAGAACGGUGUGUUCUAAAACUUCACAUUGUUGUUCUGAACCAGAACAUUUUGUAAUUUGAGAGAGAGAAUACAUAUGCAUUACAUUUUCAUACAGUUUAAGGAAAAUUUUAAACCUUGGGGGUGUGUUCCAGAAUUCUUCUCUUUUCUGUAUUGAAACAAUGAGACCACACGUCUAUCAUGACUCAACUUAAGCGUGGGAGGAUAAAAUACCUUCCUUCUUCGGUAAUCAAGGCGACAAUCUAAAAAUGUUAAACUCAAGCUGUUUCCUUAAACCAAAUUCUUUGUCAUGAAUAAACCAGGAAGUUUUAACGUUUGCAGAGUAUUCGUGUUUUUGUUACUCUGCCAAUAUUUGUGGGUCUGUUGGAAUAGUAUUCAUUUCAAAUCAAUAACAUUUAUGUAAAAGUACUGACACCUUUA